rnacentral:rRNA from 1 species
AUUGAACGCUGGCGGCAGGCCUAACACAUGCAAGUCGAGCGAGCGGCGGACGGGUGAGUAAUGUCUGGGAAACUGCCUGAUGGGGGGGGAUAACAACUGGAAACGGUCGCGAAUACCGCAUACCAUCAGAUGUGCCCAGAUGGGAUUAGCUAGUAGGUGGGGUAACGGCUCACCUAGGCGACGAUCCCUAGCUGGUUUGAGAGGAUGACCAGCAACACUGGAACUGAGACACGGUCCAGACUCCGACGGGAGGCAGCAUUGGGGAAUAUUGCACAAUGGGCGCAAGCCUGAUGCAGCCAUGCCGCGUGUGUGAAGAAGGCCUUCGGGUUGUAAAGCACUUUCAGCGGGGAGGCGUUACCCGCAGAAGAAGCACCGGCUAACUCCGUGCCAGCAGCCGCGGUAUUC